rnacentral:misc_RNA from 1 species
GGAAAUUUCACUCAAAAACCUCAGUCAAAAGAAAUCAAAAGAAAAAAUGGGGCUAGAUUGAGUUUUUUCCCGUGUAAAAAGUUAAAUUCCAUCCAUGAUAUUGUUCUUCUAGCCAAAUUGGGGGCCUGCAUAGACUAGAUGGCCUAUUUGAGGUCACAUUGUAGAUUCUGUUCUUAACAUAGAGACAAAUUUUACUUCCAAAUGGAUUUGUUCAACAGUACAUGUUAGAUAACUGGAGAAUAGACGCCUAUGCCAAUCCUCUUUCAAAAGAAUAGCUCCUCCUCCAUAUUUUAUCAAAACAAAAAAGACUAUUUAGAAUGGUAAAAUCCAAUGGGUUUUGACGUUUUGACGACCAUGGUUAACAUACAUAUUCCCUAGGUGGGUAUGGCUACAUGCAUCUCCAAUUAAUGGUAAGUAAAGAUCCUAUAUAUUAAUUAUUGUCCAUCCAAGUCUUUAAUUAAUAAUUCGAAGGAUUCAACCUUGUUCUCUACUGUUGCAGUGUCUCUACCUUUUAAUUCUUCCGCCAGCCUACGCACAUGCCCAUGUCGUGAGAUCCGCGCAUCACGCCCUUAAUUUAUUUCUUGUCUUUUUCUUUCCCCUAUCCAAAUCUAAUUCGCAGGAGCAUACGCAACAGCACAACAAGAAGGAAUUUAGGAUUCUUCUCCUGUGUCACGGGCAACCCAAUUGAUGAUUGUUGGCGAUGCGACCCCAAUUGGCAGCGAAACAGGAAGCGUCUUGCUGCUUGUGGGAUUGGUUUUGGACGCAAUGCCAUUGGUGGUCGCAACGGCAGAUACUAUAUCGUGACCGAUCCUCGCGAUGACGAUCCUGUUAAUCCAAAACCUGGCACCCUUCGCCAUGCUGUUAUUCAAGAAAGACCUUUAUGGAUUGUGUUCAAGAGGGACAUGAUCAUCACUCUUAAGCAGGAGCUUAUUAUGAACAGUUUCAAGACUAUCGAUGCCCGUGGAGUUAACGUCCACAUUGCCAAUGGAGCUUGCAUUACUAUCCAAUUUAUCACAAAUGUCAUUAUUCAUGGUCUCCAUAUCCAUGAUUGCAAGCCUACCGGCAACGCCAUGGUUCGUAGCUCGCCUACUCAUUAUGGUUGGAGAACUAUGGCUGAUGGAGAUGGGAUUUCCAUUUUUGGGUCUAGUCACAUUUGGAUUGAUCAUAAUUCUCUGUCGAAUUGCGCAGAUGGCCUUAUUGAUGCUAUAAUGGGGUCAACUGCCAUUACAAUUUCGAACAACUACUUCACCCACCACAACGAGGUUAUGUUAUUGGGUCACAGUGACUCCUACACAAGAGAUAAGCAGAUGCAAGUAACAAUAGCCUACAACCAUUUUGGUGAGGGUCUUAUCCAGAGAAUGCCAAGGUGUAGGCAUGGGCAUUUCCAUGUGGUGAACAAUGACUACACACAAUGGGAAAUGUAUGCCAUUGGUGGAAGUGCCGAACCUACCAUUAACAGCCAAGGAAACAGAUAUCUUGCCCCUAACAAUGCUUUCGCUAAAGAGGCGACGAAGAGGGUGCAGACAGCAAAUAAUGUAUGGAAGAACUGGAAUUGGAGAUCAGAGGGAGACCUCAUGCUAAAUGGAGCCUACUUCACUCCAUCAGGAACCGGAGCUGCAGCAAGUUAUGCCAGGGCUUCAAGCUUGGCUGCCAAGUCCUCAUCCAUGGUUGGCACCAUUACUUCAAGUGCCGGUGCUCUUUCCUGCCGCAGGGGUCGUCAAUGUUAAUUCUCAAUCCUAAGUUCCCAAAAACAGGGAAAAAUAAACCCAAAAAAAAGAAAAAAAAAAUCUCUUCCCUUACUGUUGCUGUAGCAACUAUCCAGCAAGAUUGCAGUCAUUCUCUGUUCCAUCUCCCUCAUUCUCCCCUGUAUUUGUGUCGCUCAACAAAAUAUUUGGCAAGUGUACAUGAUAUUACAGGUGCCAUUGAGCUGUCACACCCAGAUAAAAAAAAAUCCACUUGUCACCACGCCAUUGAUCGACCUCGGCCUGCUUUAAAUGCCGCAGUGUUAGCUCACCAUCUUCAGCAUUUUGUUCAAAACCCUGUUCCUCGCAGAGUCAAUUUGUCCAUUUUCUCCUCUGUACUAUAAUUUACGAAUUCUCAACUCUGAGUAAUGCAAAAAUUCAUACCAAAAAGAUAUUCUUCAGCUCCAAAUAUUCUUAGCUUUAAUCAUUUUGCCUCGUAUUUAAUUAUGGGUUUGUCCUUCCUAUCUCCUCUGUAAUUAAUGAACAGCUCGCUCAUUUCGCAUGAUAGCAGGUAUAAUGCAAUGAUGCUUUUGCCUUUUUCACUUUCACCCUACAAUUCUAAAACACUAAUAUAAUUACCUGGAACAUGCAUAAUUAAUGUUUGGUUAAUGACAAUUCCUCAUUGCUUGCAUGUGAGGUGGGGACACCAGAGGCAUGUGAUGCAUUCUUCACUUACAAAACAGUGUCAUUUUCUUGCCAACCUUUGAGUUGCAGACCAUGACACUCUUGAGUCUUUGGAGAAGUGUCACUUCAUAACCAUGUGGAUUGGGAAAUGGCAUAACACAAUUCAUCUUCAUCAUCUCCCUCAUGACUUUACAAAAUUGAGUGAAGCCAGACUUGGAUAAGAUGAGAAUAAACAAGUUGGCUCAGCUGUAAUUUGGAUUAUUGUUCUUUAUCUAAUCAUAGAACAUCCAAGGGUGUUUUAGUGGUCAACAACUUCUCACGUACGUUAUGAAAAAUAUGAGAAUAAGUUGGUGGUAGAGAGAGAGAGAGUUGGCAGAGAUGUAAUAAGGAAUAUUUUGUUCCGGAAUUUAAUGGCG